rnacentral:rRNA from 1 species
GACGAACGCUGGCGGCGUGCUUAACACAUGCAAGUCGAACGGAAAGGCCCUGCUUGCAGGGUACUCGAGUGGCGAACGGGUGAGUAACACGUGGGUGAUCUGCCCUGCACUUCGGGAUAAGCCUGGGAAACUGGGUCUAAUACCGGAUAGGAGCCAUUUUGAGUGUGAUGGUUGGAAAGUUUUUUCGGUGUAGGAUGAGCUCGCGGCCUAUCAGCUUGUUGGUGGGGUAAUGGCCUACCAAGGCGGCGACGGGUAGCCGGCCUGAGAGGGUGGACGGCCACAUUGGGACUGAGAUACGGCCCAGACUCCGACGGGAGGCAGCAGUGGGGAAUAUUGCACAAUGGGCGCAAGCCUGAUGCAGAGGCGCCGCGUGGGGGAUGACGGUCUUCGGGUUGUAAACUACUUUCGCUAGGGACGAAGCUUUUUGUGACGGUACCUAGAUAGGAAGCACCGGCUAACUACGUG